UACGGAGGGUGCGAGCGUUGUUCGGAAUUAUUGGGCGUAAAGCGCACGUAGGCGGCCCGUUAAGUCUCUUGGUGAAAGGCCGGGGCUCAACCCCGAGCAUGCCGGGGAUACUGGGGGGCUGGAGACAGGCAGAGGCCAGCGGAAUUCCGGGUGUAGCGGUGGAAUGCGUAGAGAUCCGGAAGAACACCGGUGGCGAAGGCGGCCUUCUGGACGGUGACUGACGCUGAGACGCGAAAGCGUGGGGAGCAAACCGG
rnacentral:rRNA from 1 species